UACGUAGGGUCCAAGCGUUAUCCGGAAUCACUGGGCGUAAAGAGCGUGUAGGCGGCUUUACAGGUCCGUUGUGAAAACUCGAGGCUCAACCUCGAGACGCCGGUGGAAACCGUAAGGCUAGAGUCCGGAAGAGGAGAGUGGAAUUCCUGGUGUAGCGGUGAAAUGCGCAGAUAUCAGGAAGAACACCAGUGGCGAAGGCGGAACUCUGGGCCGGAACUGACGCUGAGGAGCGAAAGCGUGGGGAGCGAACAGG
rnacentral:rRNA from 1 species